UACGUAGGGUGCGAGCGUUAAUCGGAAUUACUGGGCGUAAAGCGUGCGCAGGCGGUUUUCCAAGACAGAUGUGAAAUCCCCGGGCUUAACCUGGGAACUGCAUUUGUGACUGGCGGGCUAGAGUAUGGCAGAGGGGGGUAGAAUUCCACGUGUAGCAGUGAAAUGCGUAGAGAUGUGGAGGAAUACCGAUGGCGAAGGCAGCCCCCUGGGCCAAUACUGACGCUCAUGCACGAAAGCGUGGGGAGCAAACAGG
rnacentral:rRNA from 1 species